AUUGAACGCUGGCGGCAGGCCUAACACAUGCAAGUCGAGCGGAUGAAGGAAGCUUGCUCCUGGCUUUAGCGGGGGACGGGUGAGUAAUGGCUAGGAAUCUGCCUGGUAGGGGGGGAUAACGUCUGGAAACGGGCGCUAAUACCGCAUACGUCCUGAGGGAAAAAGAGGGGGACCUUCGGACGUCACGCAAUCAGAUGAGCCUAGGUCGGACUAGCUAGGUGGUGGGGUAAAGGCCUCCCAAGGCGACGAUCCGUAACUGGUCUGAGAGGAUGAACAGUCACACUGGAACUGAGACACGGUCCAGACUCCUACGGGAGGCCGCAGUGGGGAAUAUUGGACGAUGGACGAAAGCCUGAUCCAGCCAUGCCGCGUGUGUGAUGAAGGUCUUCGGAUUGUAAAGCACUUUAAGUUGGGGGUAAGUGCAGUAAGUUAAUACCUUGCUGUUUUGACGUUACCAACAGAAUAAGCACCGGCUAACUUCGUG
rnacentral:rRNA from 1 species